GAUGCUGACCCAGGACAGAGCGCAGCACAGCAGGGAGCAGUGUCCCUUGGCUGUCCCCUGCUCCCAGGGUUCGCAGAGGGCCACAGUACACAGAGCCUCACACUCAGAAUAAACACUGGGCUGCAGCUUGCACGGAACAAACCAACACACUGGCCCCCACGUCGUCCUGAAGCGCAGCAAGCGUGCAGGUGGCACAAAAGCUGCUUUGUCUCCUCCAGCACAGCUCUAGUGGACACCUGUAGCUGAUCCAGCCUGAUAACUGCAGAGGAAGAUAACCGAGCUCUACAGCUUGAGAAAAGAGAAGCAUCCCCUGCCUGGAUCCUGAAGCCCCUUUAAGAUCCACCUGAAAGGGCUUUUAUACAGUAUUGCAGCAAGACACUCUAAACUUCAACUGCUCCCUGCUCUCUGUGUAUCACCUCCUCCAAGCCUCUGCAGUGCAGCACACAUUUGUCCAUCUGUGAGCAGAAUGCAAUUGCUGCGAGAACCAACUUACGCAGCUCUGAGCAUCACCCAGAGGGCUUUGCUUGAGAGCAGUUUAUCAGCAGUUGCUUCCCAAGGCUGCAGUUUGCACCAUAACUCCUACCCUGAAGCAUUCAUCUCUGGGAUAUAUCUCAACCCUCCACUGGUGCCGUCAACUCUGCAGGGAGCAGGAAGGAUUUCAAACUGAUUCUUAGAAUUUUUAGACUUCUUAGUGCUGCUUUCAUGCAGAAGACAUCCUUCCUCCUCCGAGCACACACAGAGCAUGUGAAGGGGAGCCCUGCUUGUUUGCUGCUGAUAACCAGCAGUACACCAAGAGACAACAUAAUCCAUUACCCCAAACACAGUGAACCGUGGAGGGGUGAAGAAAGAGGUUACAGCAGAGGAUGUGUUUACUGAAUUGCUGCCCUUUAGUGGGACAUAGAGCCAUGACCAGAGCUGCUCAGCCACUCUCUGAGCAUCACCACGUGGGGAAGGAUGGCAGCAUCAGUCGCUUUCCCAUGCAGCAGUCCCGUUCAACAGUUUGAGCUGAAGACAGCAAACGGGACUGGAUCGGUAUGGGUUUUUCUGCACCUGCUACCACAGUCAUAAAGGAUUCAAGUUUUGUACAAUGCCCGUGGACCAUCCAGCCUGGUUCAAGAAAAAGGUAGCACAACUCUAACAGCCUUCAUGGAGCAAGGCAUCUGCAGAAGAAACCACCACCUCAGUCCCUGGGUUACAUCCUCAAACAGGAAAGCUUGCAUACCCUGAAAAACAUUUUGUCUGUGGCACAGCUAUCUAGAAAAAAUUACUCCCCUAUCUUUAUAUGCUGAAAGCAAGCCUUGAGUAGGUAUUUGAAAGAAAUCUAUAUUAUUGGAUAUAAUUAAGUCUCAUAAAGCUGUAAUGACUUUCUGAAGGAUAAUAUUUCCCAGCUGCUUCUCAAAAAUUCAUGAAGAACUUACUUUAGGUAAUAAAAAGUGUGUAAGAAUCAA